rnacentral:rRNA from 1 species
UACGUAGGGUGCAAGCGUUAAUCGGAAUUACUGGGCGUAAAGCGUGCGCAGGCGGUGAUGUAAGACAGUUGUGAAAUCCCCGGGCUCAACCUGGGAACUGCAUCUGUGACUGCAUGCUGGAGUGCGGCAGAGGGGGAUGGAAUUCCGCGUGUAGCAGUGAAAUGCGUAGAUAUGCGGAGGAACACCGAUGGCGAAGGCAAUCCCCUGGGCCUGCACUGACGCUCAUGCACGAAAGCGUGGGGAGCAAACAGG